rnacentral:rRNA from 1 species
AUUGAACGCUGGCGACAUGCUUUACACAUGCAAGUCGAACGGCAGCACGGACUUCGGUCUGGUGGCGAGUGGCGAACGGGUGAGUAAUACAUCGGAACGUACCCAGUAAUGGGGGAUAACUAUCCGAAAGGAUAGCUAAUACCGCAUACGCCCUACGGGGGAAAGAGGGGGAUCGCAAGACCUCUUGUUAUUGGAGCGGCCGAUGGCUGAUUAGUUAGUUGGUGAGGUAAAGGCUCACCAAGGCGACGAUCAGUAGCGGGUCUUAGAGGACGCUCGGCCACACUGGAACUGGGACACGGUCCAGACUACUACGGGAGGCAGCAGUGGGGAAUCUUGGACAAUGGGCGCAAGCCUGAUCCAGCAAUGCCGCGUGCGUGAAGAAGGCUUUCGGGUUGUAAAGCGCUUUUGUCAGGGAGCAAAUCCUUGUGGCUAAUACCCACCGGGGAUGAGAGUACCUGAAGAAUAGGGACCGGCUAACUACGUGCCAGCAGCCGCCGUAA